GAUUCAUUCAAUGGUGACGUGUUGCACAUGAACACGUUUUAAAAAGUGCUUAUUUUGAGAAAAAAACGCGGCGAUCCUCUCUCUCAGCUCACUUCACAUCGUCGCCGGCCCUCCGAGAGGCUCCGACUCGACGCUGCUCCUCGUCUGCGGCCCACGCCUCUAGGCUUAGGCUCGCCUUACACCGACCGCACUACCGUCUCCACCUCUUCCCCUCAGGAAAUUAAUGUACUUGCAAAUCGCCCUUGCCCUUGUCAACAAUCCCCGCUGGAGUUAUUUUGGUGGCAAAUAGCGUCGUUAAGAGGGUUGAGGUGCCGGACGUCGAGAACCUGUCGUAAAACAAAUGUGCUCAGAAGAAGCUCAUCAAGAUUGGGAAUUUUUGAGCUAUCUACAUACUUGAGGCAAAGUUAGCAUUGGACAGCCUUGAAGUGCCUGUGGGUGAUGGAACUUCAAAAAAAGAAGGGAUUUCAGUGCACUGGAGGAAUAAUGGCAACAUAAGCCAUCAAUCUUCUCAAAAGCUUUUAUGAGCAAGGAAAUCCAAAUGGUUAGCUAUAUUCAUGUAGCUUAUUAAAAAUUAAUACAUAUGCUGGAGAAGUCUGAGAAUUAGGUUGCAACAUAUUUGAUGUACAAGCUACCUUUUGUGGAAAAUAUUGAUAUUCUCCUAGAUGAUUUCUCUCUAAUGUCUACUCUAGCAUAUUAUGAUUAUAGUAUCUACACUUGAUGCCAAUCCAACAUUAUGCAUUAUUUUCCUUGUAAAUGUUUCCUUGGAAAGGUUGGGCUGUCACAUACUUGGAUGUAAUCCUUAGGGAAGGAACACAUUCUAACCUUUACUUAAAUGAUCAUCUUGUAAGGUAUCACGGGUUUUUACAAGAAAUCAGUAUCCAACUCUUCCUGAACUGAAGUUCAGUUGUAGUAGCUGUGUGUUAUGUAUUACUUGCACCUUUUCAUUAGGAGACAUGGGCUCAGUUCCCCUAUGAAUCAUUCGAGCAAUUUGGUUGAUAGCACAUUUGGUAAAGAUGACGUUUCUCUUUCCACAGCUUUUUGAAGAUUUAGUUUUUCACUUGGGUCACAGUUUCUAUGUGCACCAUUUGAGCCUGUAAUGCAGAAAUUUUGUUUGAUGGGUUUUUUAUGUAAAAUACGAAUAGUUUUUUUUAUCACCUCAUAUGUUUAACAAAACAUUAUUGAAUUCAGCAUCGAAACCUCACAGAGUUGUGCUCGCACAUGUGUAGUUAUGUUCCUUGUGAAGUUUACUUUUACUGCCAUGUGAAGAGGUAUGUCAUGGUACAAUACUCUCAUUAUAUGUCUGAAUUAUUUGGUAUUGAUACUCUUCUAGUUCUCAGAAAAGGAACGCUUUCAUAUAUCUGCAUUACGAUAAUUUUCAAGUUUGCUUCACUUGGAAUAAUCUUAUUCUGUUCCUAGCCUCUCUGUUUUCGUUUGUACUUUUGGUGUUUGAAUGAUGUUUCCAACAUUUUUUCUGUUAUCUCUAUAAUUUAGUCUGAGUAGUUGAGCACAAGUCGGAAAAUCUUUAUGCAUUCUUCUGAUUGACUGGUCUGCUGUGCAGGUUUUACGACGGUGAUGGAGCCAGCUGACUAGAAAAAUGAUGGAUCAAACUGAG